rnacentral:misc_RNA from 1 species
AGGAAUGGGGAGGGGGAAGAGAGGCAGAGGUGGAGGAGAUAGGUGGGAGGAAAGAAAUGGUGGGUGGAGAUUGAGGUUGGGGUUGGUGUUAGGGAAUAGGGACAGAGGAGGUGAAGAAGCAAGCAACGAUGGCCAUGUUUGGGAGGAGGUGAGUAGGGGUGUGAGACAUGUGUUUGGAUUUGGUUUACAAAUUUGGUUUGGUUGGUUGUUUAAGAAGUAGAAUGUGGUUUCCUUCUUAUGUUUUCUUUCUCGCUUUUCAAUUGAGUGUGUUAUUGUUGUCAAAUUCAGUGAAAAUUCAAAGAGCUUUCGUCACCAGUUUUUUAGCAUUUGGCAUCCACAUUUCUUUCUUUCCUCACUUCAAUUUUUUUUUU